rnacentral:rRNA from 1 species
AGUCGACGGUACAGGUUAAGCUGACGAGUGGCGAACGGGUGAGUAAUAUAUCGGAACGUGCCCAGUAGUGGGGGAUAGCCCGGCGAAAGCCGGAUUAAUACCGCAUACGACCUACGGGUGAAAGCAGGGGAUCGCAAGACCUUGCGCUAUUGGAGCGGCCGAUAUCAGAUUAGCUAGUUGGUGGGGUAAAAGCUCACCAAGGCGACGAUCUGUAGCUGGUCUGAGAGGACGACCAGCCACACUGGGACUGAGACACGGCCCAGACUCCUACGGGAGGCAGCAGUGGGGAAUUUUGGACAAUGGACGCAAGUCUGAUCCAGCCAUGCCGCGUGCGGGAAGAAGGCCUUCGGGUUGUAAACCGCUUUUGUCAUGGAAGAAUAGUUUGGGGCUAAUACCCUCGGA